UAGGUCAUUCCCAUAUCUCAGUUUUCCUGCCUAAAAGUGGGACUUAUAAACCCUCCCUUGCUCAGAUGUUAGGAUGGGAGGAUUAAGAUUGCAAACAUUAUUGCUGUGCCUUUCAGCUAAAAGAUUAUGAGCAAUUUAAGGAUCAGAAUGGGGUCUGUAUAAUCUCUGUUGCAUCAUGCCUAACAUAAGCCCACAGCUGUAAAAUGGUCACACCAAGAGAUAAGCACCAAUCAAGCAAAGUUACAAAAAGGAGAGAUGCAAUUUGGAAUUCCUGAUACCUGGAUUAUUUCAGAGGGUCACUGUGAAGAUGAAUGAGGCCAAAUUCUUUAGGGGAAAAGGAACUCUAGCAACCCAAAGUGUACUGUAUUAUCAUUAAUAAGCAGUCUGACUCCAGAACCACCAACAAGCGGCACGGCUCUUCAUGACACAGCACAGCCCCUCUCUGCCUCAGACGUUGUCUCAUUCUGUCUAAUAUGCCAUUUUAAUGAGACUCAAACUCCACUCUGCCUCUAUCACAGGAGCACAAAGAAGAUGGGAGUGAGAUAGUUCUCGUCUUGCUAAGAGCCCUUCACCAUCUGGAAGGAAUAAAACGUUAAUUAAGAGCAAGAAAGGAACAACUGAUGGGUGAUCCGUGUUUCUGUGGGGGGGGGGAGAAAAAACACUCCAGGGAGUUGGGGUGGGCAGAGCAGAAUGCCCAAAGGACAAGUGUGCUUCCCGUGCAGUCAGGAAGUCCCUUUGUCCGCCUGGCAAUGGGAUGGCUCUUGGAGGGCUGUUGGCCCAGCUCAAAUUCUAGCCUCUCCUCCACAGGCCUCCCCAAUGGCUUCUAUCCCACGGCGAUUCCGCCUUCUACAAACUCCCAAAGCAUUUCUUUUCUGUACUCUGUCAUUUAAUAUACACCGACUUCCACCAUCUC